UAAUACGAAGGACCCGAGCGUUAUCCGGAUUUAUUGGGUUUAAAGGGUGCGUAGGCGGACUUGUAAGUCAGUGGUGAAAUCCUGCGGCUUAACUGCAGAACUGCCAUUGAAACUGCUUGUCUUGAGUACAUUUGAAGCGGGCGGAAUGUGUCAUGUAGCGGUGAAAUGCUUAGAUAUGACACAGAACACCGAUUGCGAAGGCAGCUCGCUAAACUGUAACUGACGCUGAGGCACGAAAGCGUGGGUAGCAAACAGGAUUAGAUACCCUGGUAGUCCACGCCCUAAACUAUGAUCACUCGAUGUGUGCGAUACACUGUACGCGUCUGAGCGAAAGCAUUAAGUGAUCCACCUGGGAAGUACGGCCGCAAGGCUG
rnacentral:rRNA from 1 species